AUGGCUCAGAACGAACGCUGGCGGCAGGCCUUAUACAUGCAAGUCGAGCGCAUCCUUCGGGAUGAGCGGCGGACGGGUGAGUAACGCGUGGGAAUGUGCCCUUCUCUACGGAAUAGCCACUGGAAACGGUGAGUAAUACCGUAUACGCCCUCAGGGGGAAAGAUUUAUCGGAGAAGGAUCAGCCCGCGUUAGAUUAGGUAGUUGGUGGGGUAACGGCCUACCAAGCCUACGAUCUAUAGCUGGUUUUAGAGGAUGAUCAGCCACACUGGGACUGAGACACGGCCCAGACUCCUACGGGAGGCAGCAGUAGGGAAUCUUGGACAAUGGGGGCAACCCUGAUCCAGCCAUGCCGCGUGAGUGAAGAAGGCCCUAGGGUCGUAAAGCUCUUUCGCCUGUGAUGAUAAUGACAGUAGCAGGUAAAGAAACCCCGGCUAACUCCGUGCCAGCAGCCGCGGUAAUACGGAGGGGGUUAGCGUUGUUCGGAAUUACUGGGCGUAAAGCGCGCGUAGGCGGAUUGGAAAGUUGGGGGUGAAAUCCCGGGGCUCAACCCCGGAACUGCCUUCAAAACUCCCAGUCUAGAGUUCGAGAGAGGUGAGUGGAAUUCCGAGUGUAGAGGUGAAAUUCGUAGAUAUUCGGAAGAACACCAGUGGCGAAGGCGGCUCACUGGCUCGAUACUGACGCUGAGGUGCGAAAGUGUGGGGAGCAAACAGGAUUAGAUACCCUGGUAGUCCACACCGUAAACGAUGAAUGCCAGUCGUCGGAUAGUAUACUAUUCGGUGACACACCUAACGGAUUAAGCAUUCCGCCUGGGGAGUACGGUCGCAAGAUUAAAACUCAAAUGAANUUGACGGA
rnacentral:rRNA from 1 species